CCCCGCGGUUUGCUCUGGUGUCCCCCGAACCCCCUCUCCAAGCAGGUAUCCUUCCCCGCGGUUUGCUCUGGUGUCCCCCGAACCCCCUCUCCAAGCAGGUAUCCUUCCCCGCGGUUUGCUCUGGUGUCCCCCGAACCCCCUCUCCAAGCAGGUAUCCUUCCCCGCGGUUUGCUCUGGUUUUCCCCACCCCCCCUCCAAGCAGGCAUCCAGCCCCACGGUGUGCUGCCGUGUUCCCCACCCCCCCUCCAAGCAGGCAUCCAGCCCCGCGGUGUGCUGCCGUGUUCCCCACCCCCCCUCCAAGCAGGUAUCCUUCCCCGCGGUUUGCUCUGGUGUCCCCCGAACCCCCUCUCCAAGCAGGUAUCCUUCCCCGCGGUUUGCUCUGGUUUUCCCCCC